rnacentral:lncRNA from 1 species
UGAAAACCCUGCUCAAGACCAACAUUUGAUUUCAAGACAGGUGUGGAGUAGCUGCCAGGUCAAAAACUGGGCCACAAAACUCACAUUGUCUAAGGGAACAUGGCUGACCAAGAAUGAAAAAGAAGAAGCAUCUGCAGCUGAAUUUUGUCUCUUCUGGCUAGAACUCUUGUGAGAAAGAAGCAAGUCUGGGAUGGAGGCUUUCAUCUGCCUGAGAGAGCUGGAAUCAUCUGCAAACCUUGUAGUCAAGUGUGUUGACAAAUAAAGAAAAAUCAUCAGAUGAUGAAUAUUCA